UGGCUCAGUUGGUAGAGUAUGGUGUUUGUGACGCCAGCAUGGUGUGUGCAACGCGAGGGUUGUGGGUUCGAUUCCCAC
rnacentral:tRNA from 1 species